rnacentral:sRNA from 1 species
GCGGGUCGUUCUUGUAAUAGUUGUGCUCAUGACAUUGCUCGUCGGCGGCGGCACGCCCCGGCGAGGGCGGCCACGGAUCCGGCCCCCACACGGUGGGAUCCAGCCUUGCCGGGCCGGAUCUGUCUCGGACACUGCCUGGCCAGCAGUGAUGGGUGCGGACGGCGGCUGGUGAUGGCAACUGGCGACGGUGGCGGCAGCAGCUAGCGGCGGUGGUGGCUGGCGAUGACGACUUCCGAUGGCGGUGGCGGCGGCAGCUGUUGACUGCGGCGGCUAGCGAUGGCGGCUGGCGACGGCGGCUGGUGAUGGUGGUUGGUGACGGCGGCAGCGGCAGACGACUGCCGACGGCGGUGGCGGCAGCAGCUGUUGGCUGCGGCGGCUGGUGACGGCUGCAGCGACAGACGGCGGUGGGAGGAGGCACGGUGGCUGAGGUGGGAGGAGGCAUGGCAGCCUCGGACGGCUAGCCGAGGGCGUGGCAGAUGACUGCAUCUGGCCGACGCGACAGCGUUUGGAGGAGGGGUUGGAGACCGGCUUGGCGCAAAGAGGCGCAGCCGAUGGCAGCGGAGGCUGGCUCGGCGCAAGAGGCGCAGGCGGUGGAGAUGGAGGCCGGCUUGGCGUGAGAGGCGCGGCUGAUGGGGGGAGGCCAGAUUGGUGCGAGAGGCACAUCCGGUGGAGGAGGCCGGCUUAGUGCGAGAGGCGUGGCCGGCGGUGGAGAAGGCGACCUCGGAGCGAGGAGGAGCUGCCAAUGAAUGUGGCGUGGUCUUCGGCACACGAAGGCUGGCCGGCGGGGGGCGUCGGUGUAGUGGUCCCACAUGUUGGCAGAGGUUGAGUGGUGGUGGAGUAUCGGUGCAUCAGCCGUGGAUUCGCAGGUGGUAAGUAGCGGGUGAAAACCCAGCCCGGCCUUGGCCGGACCGACAACGAUGGUUAAUUCCCCCUCCUGAGGGCAUUGUCAUGCAGUCUCAUCCCUCAAGGGUGGUUGCCGGGCGAAAGCCCAGUCUUGACUCCUUUUGAUCCCGACUGACGGCGGCGGCGGUUUUCCGUCGCUUCUCUUCUUGAAGACGUCGUUUUGGCAUACCCUAGCCGAAGCCUCUCGAACGAUUGGUGCAAGCACACUCUAGGAGUUGGCUUUGCGUUGGUUGUGAGGGCGUUCUUUUGGGUGAUCUCGUAUGUGUUCCUUUGUUGGUCUAGUAGCGGUCGGUCACGUUUAGCGGCGGCUGGUCCGGUGUUAGCCUUCUCCCGAUCUUGUGUGUUGGUGCUAUCGGUGUGUGGGUGGUGGUAUAUUUUUUUUCUUUUUCCUGGUUACGACCCUUCAGGGUUGUAAUCUUGUAAUUUUUUUCUGCUCUAUCAAUACAACGUGUGAGACAUU